rnacentral:misc_RNA from 1 species
UUCUUUAAUCUGCAACCACAAACUAACAUAUAGACUUAAUCAACAUCACUCUGUAAAAAUCCUUUCAAAUGAGGUAAUAUGCAGGCUUCAUGCUAAAGAAGUAUUAGCUUUUCUUGCUGAAUCUUGAUUGUUCCUAAAAAGUGUCCCCAAUAAUUCAAGUUAACAUGAUUUGCUUCUUUCCCAAUAAGAUCAUGUGAAUUAGAAUAUACAAUGAAAAAGAAGAAUUAUAAAAUCUUUAUAUAACUUUAUAAAAUAAGCACAUAUUUCAGAAGUUAUUAUGUUGUUAAAUUGCACAUAUGCAGGUUAUAAGAGGUGUUCCUGUAUUGAAAGCAUAAAAAUAAGCAGGCCCACAAGGCCCUAGGGACUCCUGUUCCUAGAUUGAUGCUAAUGCAAGCAAAGGUUUGUUGAAUCAAAUUUUUAAAAAACCAAAACAGAAAUCAGUGUGAUUGAAGAGACAUUAUGGCAGGAUUGCAUGGCUAGUAAG